AUGAGAAAUAUUGUUACCAAAAGGGAAAGGAGCUUGUGCAGGAUCAAUCCUUCUAGCCAUCCACCCACCCACCUAUCCAUCACUGAGAACCAUGCUCCAUGCCAGGCAGCUUCACAAAAGGUCCCUUUCCCUGACUCUUCAGAGGCCAGAUUUUCCAUCUUGGUACUAGAUGUCUCCGACGUGCAAAGUACGAUCCAAAGCAGAAGGGAGUACACCCGCAGUCAAGAGGGCCGCAGUCAAGCCUCACUGGUCAAAGGGACCCCACCAGCCCCAGUCCAACCCCUCCUUCCAGCCCACCCAGGGCCCCCCUUAGUGCCAAAGCUCAGUUCAAGCAGUGUUCCUGGAGGAGGAAGAAGAGGAUGGAGAAGAGAAAAGCCCAGGACGGAAAUGAAGAGGACAUCUCUGCAACAUGAUGUCACGCAGGCUGCUUUCAGAUCCCCCAAACGAACGGAGAACAGAAGCAAACAACAUGGACUCCAGAUUUAUUCGGCCUCAAAAGGGUGUCUGCCUGCUGACUGGAUCUUCAUAUACACAACUAUACUGAGGAGCAGAGAGAAACUCGGAUGAGGAAGACAUG
rnacentral:lncRNA from 1 species